UACGGAGGGUGCGAGCGUUGUCCGGAAUCACUGGGCGUAAAGGGCGCGUAGGCGGCCUGAUAAGUAGGGGGGUGAAAAUCCUGCGGCUUAACCGCAGGGCUGCCUUCUAAACUGUCAGGCUAGAGCACAGUAGAGGCAGGUGGAAUUCCCGGUGUAGCGGUGGAAUGCGUAGAGAUCGGGAAGAACAUCAGUGGCGAAGGCGGGGUCUCUGGGCAGUAACUGACGCUGAGGAGCGAAAGCGUGGGGAGCGAACAGG
rnacentral:rRNA from 1 species